rnacentral:rRNA from 1 species
CGCUCCAGUCGAGUGGGGUUUGGGUGAGGCGUGGUCUUGUUGGUUGCGUCGAACCUAGGUUCCGCAAGACGGGAGAAGUCGUAACAAGGUGGCCGUAGGGGAACCUGCGGCCGGAUCACCUCCUAAGUAAGCAACGCAGGCCGGCUGGAGGGGAAAAAGCGCACAAGCCACGACUAUUUCUAUCUGUGUAUAUUGAGGAUCAUUCAUAAAUCCCCUUUUCAAUUUCUUUCCUGAAUGUUCGUUUCAGUUUACCUAUGUCGCCUUCGCUCUUCUCUGUCGCGAUUUCAAAUAUCACAAAUACUCGUUGAGAAUGUUCCUGAACUUCUUUGGCGCUUGAUACUAAAGUUGAUACCUAACGCGCGCUCUUACUAACGAAGGGGUGUAGUUCUCGACCCAUCUGCAGGCGUUGGCUCUUCAUUUAUCGCCGCCUUACUACACAAUAGGAAGUCAGUGGGGUAGACCAGGAAAAAGCUUGCACAGAUAUGGUUCCAAAGAAUAAUCAGCACCUCAAAAGGCGAAUUGAGAAAACGACCUCUUGGAAGGCCUAUCUAUCAACCAAAAGCAAACGAAAAGGCGGCUAAGACUCCUCCUGAAUGGAAGGUGUAUCGAAGCAGCUUAGAACAUGAACAAACGAUCCAGAUAAUAAGCUAAGUACCGCAAACUCGCCGAAGAAUGUUGGGAGUAUAUAAAGAAAAUAGGGGGUCUAUCUACAGAGACUAGAAGAAACAAAUUAACCAAACACAGCCAAGCACGUUCCCAAAUCGCUCAGACACCAGAAACUUUUUCGGCCCGACACCUCGGGCGGUUGGGGGCCGCGGGCUAAACACCUCGGCCAAAGCCUUGAUGCGUGCACCCCGGCUCCAUCAAACCCAUCUUCUAUGGGAGCCCUCGUCCAUGACUGAGGCCUGUCGCCAAGUCUCGUGUCAUGGAAUGGCCGCCUAUUUUCGGGAGCGGCUUCGAGCUUAGAUGCCUUCAGCUCUUAUCCGCGACAGCGUGGCUGCCCGGCAGUGCCCUGUCGAACAACCGGUAGACUAUGGGCUACAACGUUCCGUUCCUCUCGUACUGGGAACCCUUUCCCCUCAGGCGACCAGCACUCCCAGCAGAUAAAGUCCGACCUGUCUCACGACGGUCUAAACCCAGCUCACGUUCCCUUUUAAUAGGCGAGCAGCCUCACCCUUGGCCCCUUAUGCAGGACCAGGAUAGGAAGAGCCGACAUCGAGGUACCAAGCCGCGGGGUCGAUGUGAACUCUCGCCCGCGACAAGCCUGUUACCCCCGGGGUAAUUUUUCUGACAUAUCCAACCCCCACCAAAGAGGAUCUGGAUGUUCGCUAAGCCAGGCUUUCGCCUCUGGAUCCCUUGCCUUGGAGGAUCCAGUCAGACCGGCUUUUGCCUUUGCACUCUGCGGCGGGUUUCUGUCCCGCCUGAGCCGACCUUUGGGCCCCCUCGAUAUUUUUUCAAGGGGGUGCCGCCCCAGCCAAACUGCCCACCAACCGUUGUCCCGGCGCCGAAGCGCCGGUAAGAGACACAGAUGCGAAAGGGCGGUGUUCCAUGGGCGCCUCCCCCAGCCCCCGGAGAGACCGGGAUUAAAGGCUCCCGCCUACACUCUGCAUCCGCAGCCGUAUCCCAGCGACAGGCUGCAGUAAAACUCCACGGGGUCUUCUUUUCCCGCUGGGAGUCCGUGGACUGUUCGUCCACAUUACGUGGGUUCACCGGGUACCAAGCGGGGACAGCGGGGUCCUCGUUGCUCCAUUCAUGCGCGUCGGAACUUACCCGACAAGGCAUUUGGCUACCUUGAGAGAGUCAGAGUUACUCCCGGCGUUUGCAGGCCCUUGCUCCGGUUGAAACCGGGUUUCAGGUACCUGUACUGGCCAGGAUUCAGAAGCCGUUCACACCCUUUCGGGCUUGCGGCUUCCUGUGUUUCUUAACCGGACAAGUACACCAUUAGCCUACGGGACGAGAUGAGGUUGAAAAACCGCUUCAAGUUCUAGAGUCACCUUAUUUUUGUCUGUCUAGCUGAUCCAGACGCAGUAAGCAUCAGUCCUCUUGUAUGUAGUCCCGUCCCCGAAGAUCACUCAAACAACGUAUGCAUCGAUUUUCAUACUCCUAGUAUUCUGAAUGAAGGAGCUUUAGGAUAUCUUGUAUUUGGCCGGUGCCUUUGUCCGUUUAUUAAACAGUCGAGACCCCUUUGCCACUGCGACCUGCAGUCCCAGCCGAAGCCAAAACCGCAGGCACCCCUUAUCCCGAAGUUACGGGGCUAAUUUGCCGAGUUCCCUCGCUCGGUGUGCACCCGACACGCCUUAGGUUCCUCGCCUAGGGACACCUGUGUCGGAUCUGGGUACGGUCACAGAGGAUCCUUCCCAACAUCCUUUUCAAGGGCUCCAGAAAUCAGCUGAACCGCCCUAAAACGGGCGGCUAUUCCCGCCUUCGCCUGGUUCUCGCCAUUACGGCACUCCCCAGGCUUAUACGGUUAAACAAGGCGACAGCCCUGCUCAGCCUAUCCCGAAGCGUCAGAUGAUGGGCUUGCGUCGCCGCGUGUACCUCCGUGGUGCCGGAAUCUUAACCGGCUUCCCUUUCGGCCUCCUCAGUUAAGAUCGGCCUUAGGACCGACUUACCCCCAGCUGACGACGCAUUGCUGGGGAACCCUUGCCCUUUCGGCGGAGAAGAUUCUCACUUCUCUUUGCUGUUACUACCACCGGGAUAUGCAAUCCCGAACCGGUCCACCGGACCUCACGGCCCGGCUUCCACCCAGUCGGGACGCCCUCCUACCGGAUUGCAGCGCUAAGCUGCACCCUGGGGUAUCGGCGGCUGGCUUAGCCCCGUCCAUUUUCAGGGCCAUCAGCCUCGGCGGGUGAGCUGUUACGCUUUCUUUAAAGGGUGGCUGCUUCUAAGCCUACCUCCCCGCUGUCUGGGGCUGAUGACGCCUUUUUGUUUGACACUUAGCCAGCACUUUGGGGCCUUAACCUCAGUCUGGGUUGUCCCCCUCUCGGACUGGGGGCUUACCCCCCAGAACCCGUCUCCCAAGGUCUACGGCACCGAUGGAUUCGGAGUUUGAAAGAAAAGCGAGGCCUUUCGACCCCUUACUUCCCAAUCAGUGCUCUACCCCAUCGGCUACCUCGCUUGGGGCUGGGCUGCGACCCACUUCGGAGGGAACUAGCUAUCACCGGACUAGAUUGGUCUUUCGCCCCUAGCCCCAGGUCAGAGGAACGAAUUGCACGUCAGCACCCCUUCGGGCCUCCACCAGGCUUUCGCCUGACUUCGCCCUGCCCAGGGCUAGAUCGUCCGGUUUCUAGUGUCAAAGCCGUGACUCCGGGCCCUUUCAGACCCCGCGCCUCGCCAGCCUUGGCUGGUUGCGCGCAUGUUGGUUUCCCUAUGCUUGCAGGCUUGUCAGCCUUUAGGCUUGCCACGACCUUGAACUCCCCGGCCCGUGUUUCUAGACGGAACUUGCAACCCUGGUCCCCCUCCCUCGUACUGCUGCGUCGCCGCAGGUUCCUUUAGGAGGGAUCUACCCUUCCGGGCUGCAAACGUCUGUAACCGUCUGGUUUCAGGCUCUUUUCACCCCCCUUCCGGGGUACUUUUCAGCUUUCUGUCACCGUACUAGUGCGCUAUCGGUCUUGAGACGUAUUUAGUCUUGGAGGUUGGUGGCCUCCAGCUUCCCACACCGAAUCCAGGGUAUGGUACUCAGGGACCCCAGCCCAACUCCUUCCGGUUUACGCCUAACGGGCUAUCACCCUCUAUGGCAGGCCUUUCCAGGCCACUUCGGCUUCGCCGGCUAGAAGGCGGCUGGGCCCGCAACACUACAUCCCCCUCAGGUUUCCCUGCGGGGUUCGGUUUGGACUCUUCCCCUUUCGCUCACGCUACUUAGGGAAUCCCGGUUGGUUUCUUUUCCUUCCCUUACUAAG